rnacentral:rRNA from 1 species
GCCCGUCAGACUCGUAGCGGCGAGUGAGCGGCAAGAGCUCAGAUUUGAAAUCUCACCUAGUGUGCGAGUUGUAAAUUGCAGGUUGGAGUCUCGGGUUAGACGUGUGUGCAAGUCCCUUGGAACAGGGUGCCACUGAGGGUGAGAGCCCCGUAUCGUGCAUGUCGACACCUGUGAGGCCCUUCUGACGAGUCGAGUUGUUUGGGAAUGCAGCUCUAAGUGGGUGGUAAAUUCCAUCUAAGGCUAAAUAUUGGCGAGAGACCGAUAGCGAACAAGUACUGUGAAGGAAAGAUGAAAAGCACUUUGAAAAGAGAGUGAAACAGCACGUGAAAUUGUUGAAAGGGAAGGGUAUUGGGCUCGACAUGGGAUUUACGCAUCGUUGCCUCUCGUGGGCGGCGCUCUGGGUUUUUCCUGGGCCAGCAUCGGUUUUCGUUGCAGGAUAAGGACAAUUGGAAUGUGGCUCCUCGGAGUGUUAUAGCCUUUUGUAGAUGCUGCGUAUGGGGACCGAGGGCUGCGGCGGACUCGUUUCGUCUCGGAUGCUGGCACAACGGCGCAAUACCGCCCGCGAACGAAACACGGACCAA